GGGUUUGUUAAUGGAUUCGGUUCUACACCAUGGUUGCACCAUCCGACUUCGAUCAUGAGGUAUUAUUUGUGUUUUCAUUAUUGGGGCACUAUCUUUUAUGCAACCUCUAAAAUAAUGUAUCUUCCGACAGACCUUAGCAAUCACUAUUGUUUGGAGUGAGAACGUAGAACAUAGUGGAAUUGGAAGAGGAAUGAUCCAUCGACGGUUUUAGUCGAAGAAGAAAACAUAAGAUUUUUUUAUGGUAUAAUGGACAUCCAAAAAGUGUAACAACGUAAAAUUCCAAUUAAAUUUUUAAUUUUUCAAACCACCAAAUGUAUAUCAUAUCAUAAUUUCAAAUCCGAAACAACAGUGUUUUCAAAACAAAUUCCCAAGAUUUCUCAAAUGUGAACUCCAUCGGUGUGAGUGUGUACGGGUCAAGCCGCCGCCUUCCCACGGUUCUUGCUGGUACCUGAGACAUCAAACACAACAACUGUAAGCAUAAUGCAUAGUGAGUUCCCCAAAAUACCACAUACCACAAAUACGCCACUCGAGGCUAAACCCGACCCUCUGGUCAAGAUGUCUUAGCGGGACCCUCCAGUCUCGCAGCUCGUCGGACCCUCUGGUCCAGUCAUAGCUCAUUGGGCCCUCUGGCCCGUUCUGAAUCGUUGGACCCUCCGGUCCGGUCCAUAUAGGCAUACAACAUACAAAUAACACAUAGCAUACAACCUCAUAAAUAACACAUAAGACCCUCUGGCCAAACCAGAAUACCACUCAAGGUAACGUAUAGUGAGAAGACUCACCUCGCGUGUCUCGGUAACUCAUAAAUCUCUUAACCACUAGUGCUCGAUCUCCCGAGCUAUCGUCCUCCUACAACACAAGUGUUUUUCUACUUAAUACUACUUGACUCUAGCUGACUAAGACCACGAAGUCAAACCAGUCAACACUGGUCAACGGUCAACGGUCAACCCGAGUCGCCAAGUCUGGCGUGGACUCGCCGAGUUCCUACGGGAACCCGAUCCCUCUGAAUCUCUUCCGACUCACCGAGUCACUCAUCCGACUCGGUUACUCAACCCCUGGUUCGAAAUCGUUGAACAACCCGCACCAACUCGCCGAGUCUGGGGAAUGGACUCGGCGAGUGCAUUCCAUGCACAACCCCAAACGACCUUCUGAGGUCAGAUCCGCUUCACUAACUCAUAGAUCCAGUCUCCUUAAGCUUAUUGACCACGUAAAGUCCAAGUCUUGAUGCUCAUCAAGCAUUGAAUAGCUCAUGAAUGGUGUUUUAGCCUCAAAUACAUUGAUCCCAAGCCAAAACCUCCAUGGAUGCAUAUAAAGCUUUGGCAAUGAGGUGCUCUGGACCUCUAUGGGUCCAGAUCCAGGACCUUAACUCGCUAAGGGACCAUGAGGACACUAGAUCUAGCCACAAAUGGGUUCAAAAGCCCUAAAUCUACAUGAACAUCACAAUAACAGAGAAUGAUUCGAGAUUGUACCUCAGUUGUGAUGUUCUGGACCUCAAAUCUUCAAGAAUCCACCCCUCUCUUGCUUCCUCUUGGCUAGAUCUCCUCUUUCCUUGCUAGACAACAACUCCAAGAUCAAUAAUGGCUCCUUCCCUCACUUGAAUCACUCAAUCGCUCUAGGGUUUCACUCUGGGGACUGAUGAGUGCAAAUGACGGCCAUAAGGCCCUUUAAAUAUGCCUCAAACCCGAGAAAUUAGGGUUUCAUUAAACAGCGUGGACUCGCCGAGUCCACUCUUGGACUCGCCGAGUCCGGACGCGAACCCGCGUCCAAAUCCGCGAUCAUACUCGGCGAGUCUAGGCUCCAACUCGCCGAGUCUCCUCACAAAUUACCAAAAUAAAUAAAUGAAUAAUACCUGGGAAUCCGGGCUGUUACAAUUCUCCCCCACUAGAACUAGACUUCGCCCUCGAAGUCUCGCUCUGCAAAUAACUCCGGAUGCUGCUCACGCAUCUCACGCUCCGGUUCCCAAGUCAUCUCGGACCCCUUCCGAUGUUGCCACUGAACCAAAACCAAGGGCACCUCCUUGUUCCGCAGAACCUUGAUCUUUCGAUCCACAAUCGCAACUGGUCUCUCCGCGUAGUUCAGGCUCGCAUCCACCUGAAUGUCCUCUAACGGCACUACCGCCGACUCGUCAGCUAUACACUUCCUCAACUGAGACACAUGGAAGGUAUUAUGAAUCUGCUCCAAUUCCGCGGGUAGCUCCAAGCGAUAUGCUACCCUGCCCACCCUCGCGAUCACCCGAAACGGUCCAAUAUAUCGGGGUCCUAGCUUGCCCCUCUUCCUGAAUCGGAUCACUCCUUUCCAAGGAGAUACCUUCAGGAGAACAUAAUCACCGACCUGGAACUCGAGCUCGGUUCGACGUCUAUCUGCAUAACUCUUCUGGCGACUCUGAGCGGUCAACAACCUCUGCCUGACCUGCUGGAUCUGCUCUAUCGUCUGAAGCACUAUCUUCGUACUACCCAUCACGCGUUUCCCUACCUCACCCCAGCAAAUAAGGGUACGACAUCUCCUCCCAUACAACAGCUCAAAAGGUGGCAUACCGAUGCUCGAAUGAUGGCUGUUGUUGUACGAAAACUCUGCCAAGGGUAGAUAGGUGUCCCAACUCCCUCCAAAAUCCAAAACACAUGCUCGGAGCAUAUCCUCAAGCGUCUGAAUCGUCCGCUCGCUCUGUCCGUCCGUCUACGGGUGGUAUGCGGUACUGAAAUGCAGCCUCGUACCUAACUCCUCAUGGAACUUCUUCCAAAAUCUGGAAGUAAAUCGCACGUCUCGAUCUGAAACGAUCGACAACGGAACCCCAUGCCGCGAUACCACCUCCCUCACAUACAACUCUGCCAACCUCUCAGCAGAAGAGCUCUCACUGAUAGCAAGAAAAUGAGCGCUCUUUGUCAACCUGUCCACAAUCACCGAAAUUGCAUCGACUCCUCUCGCAGUCCUUGGCAAUUUUGUGAUAAAAUCCAUGGUAAUAUGUUGCCACUUCCACUCGGGAAUCUUCAACGGCUGCAGCUUACCAUGCGGACGCUGGUGCUCGGCCUUAACUUGACGACAAGUUAGGCACCUCUCGACGAACCAAGCAACAUCCCUCUUCAUACAGGGCCACCAAUACUCCUUCUUUAGGUCCAAAUACAUCUUGGUAGCCCCGGGAUGGAUCGAGAACUUCGAUCGAUGCGCCUCCUCCAUCAAAAUGGUACGCGUCCCGCCCACAAACAGUACCCAAAUCCGACCCUGAAACGUCAUAAGCCCCCGACUAUCGGUAACGAACUCCGACACCUGCCCAACAACCCGCUCCCGCUUUCGGUUCUCUGGUCUCGCAGCCUCAGCCUGGGCCCCUCGGAUGGUGUCCAAUACCGGAGUCAUCACCGUCAACCUCAUACAAAUGUCUCGUAUCGGGGCGCUCUCCGACCUACGGCUCAGAGCGUCGGCUACGACAUUAGCCUUGCCCGGGUGGUACAGGAUCUCACAAUCAUAAUCCUUCACCACAUCCAACCAUCUCCUCUGGCGCAUAUUCAGGUUUGGCUGAUCCAUCAAGUACUUUAAGCUCUUGUGGUCAGUGUAUAUCGUACACCGAACCCCAUACAGAUAGUGACGCCAGAUCUUGAGGGCAAACACUACAGCCCCCAACUCCAAAUCGUGGGUGGGAUAUCUCGUCUCAUGAGGCUUCAACUGCCUCGAUGCAUACGCGAUCACAUGCCCUCUCUGCAUCAACAUCGCUCCCAUCCCCAAUAUCGAAGCAUCAUAAUAUACCACGAAAUCCUCCAUCCCUUCCGGUAGUGCGAGUACAGGAGCUUCGCACAAUCUCUAACGAAGGGUCUCAAACGAGGUUUGCUGCUCCGAAACCCAUGAGAAAGUAACACCCUUCCGGGUCAACUUGGUAAGUGGCACGGCGAUCUUGGAGAAAUCUCUGAUAAAUCUCUUAUAGUAGCCUGCCAGCCCCAAGAAGCUCCUGAUCUCCGUAGGUGACCUCGGCACCUCCCAACUCAUCACAGCCUCAAUCUUGGCUGGUUCAACCAAUAUCCCUUUCUGGUUAACAAGAUGCCCUAAAAACUGGACUUCCCGCAACCAGAAAUCGUACUUGGAGAAUUUGGCAAAGAGCCUCUCCGAUCUCAGAAUUCCGAGGAGCUCCCUCCAAUGUUCCGCAUGCUGCUCUCUGGUCCUUGAAUACACCCGGAUGUCAUCAAUGAAAACAAUCACCGAACGCUCGUUGGCAAAGAGCCUCUCCGAUCUCAGAAUUCCGAGGAGCUCCCUCCAAUGUUCCGCAUGCUGCUCUCUGGUCCUUGAAUACACCCGGAUGUCAUCAAUGAAAACAAUCACCGAACGCUCGAACAUCGGCCUACACACCCUGUUCAUGAGAUCCAUGAACGCCGCUGGUGCAUUGGUGAGCCCGAAUGGCAUCACCACGAACUCGUAAUGCCCGUAACGAGUCCUAAACGCCGUCUUCUGGAUAUCCUCAUCCUAAACUCUCAUCUGGUGAUAUCCCGAUCUCAAGUCAAUCUUGGAGAACCAAGACGCCCCCUGCAACUGAUCGAAUAGAUCGUCGAUCCUCGGUAACGGAUAACGGUUCUUGACCGUCAACUUGUUCAACUCCCGGUAAUCAAUGCACAUCCGGUGUGAACCAUCCUUUUUCUUGACAAAAAGGAUCGGCGCUCCCCAGGGAGAGCUACUGGGACGGAUGAACCCUUUCCCCAACAACUCUUGCAGCUGUGAGGAUAACUCCUGCAUCUCUGGCGGUGCUAGCCGAUACGGCGCCUUAGCGAUAGGCGCAUCCCCGGGAACCAGAUCGAUAUGAAACUCCACCUGCCUCUCAGGAGGCACACCCGGCAACUCCUCGGGAAACACGUCCGGGAACUCACGCACUAUCGGCACCUCAUCUACUGAACUUGGCCUCCCAGUGGCCUCUCGCACAUCUGUCACAUAGGCUACAAACCCCUUGCAGCCCCGNUCCGCCUCGCUCUAGCGGCCGAACAGAAAACCGAACCACCACGAGUCCCCUCGCCGUAAACCGUCAGCGCUCCCCCACUAGGAUCUCGGAUCGUCACCAAUUGACGCUCGCAAUCUAUGACAGCCCCAAAACGGCUCAACCAAUCCAUUCCUACUAUGACACAAACAUCCCCCAUAGCGAUCGGAAUCAAAUCAAUCGGGAAUUCCACCCCGAAUAUCUCCAGGAUGCAUCCACGUAUCACCUCGGUAGCACAUACCUCACGCUCAUCUGCUAUGGAAACCUGCAGAGGUCGACUCAACGCCUUCCUCGGGAUAUUAAUGUGCCUACUAAAAGCCAAAGAUAUGAAAGACCGACUCGCACCCGAGUCGAAUAAAACCAAUGCAGGUACAGAACUCACAAGAAAAGUACCUACGCAUAACAUAUAGCAAUUACAAUAGCAUAAACUCAACAUAAAAUAGAUAAAGAUUACAUACCCGCCACGACGUCAGGUGCUGCGCGGACCUCCUCCGCAGUCAGCUGGAAGGCUCUCCCCCUAGCCUUCGGUGCUUCGGCCUUCACUGGCCGGGUCUCAGCAGCUCGAACCACAGGUGCAGAUCCCUGCGCUGACCUCUGAAGCUGGGGGCACUCGGCCUUCCGAUGGCCGGUCUGGUUGCAAUGGAAGCAAACCGAGAACCCCUUCGGACAGUCCCUCGCAAAAUGUCCUUCCUUCCUGCAUUUGUAGCAUACCCCAGUCUUGCACGUCCCAUCAUGGCUCUUGCCGCACUUCCCACAAGUGCCGCCCCUCGAACUGCCCGUCCUCAAAUCAGCGGGCUUUGCCCGCUUGGCGGCUGGCUGCGACUGUGUCGGUUGUCGAUCACCCCUCUGCAACUUAGUCUCCUCUCUCGCCUGUGUCUCAAGCUCAAUCUCCCUCUUCCGAGCAUUUGCCUGGAGCUCGGAAAAUGUCUGGUAAGUCGAGUUCGCCACAAACUCAUGGAUGUCCCUCCUCAAUAUACUCAGAUAACGGCUCAUGCGAGCCUGCUCAGUGGACACCAACUCCGGGCAAAACAGCGCCCGCUCAUGAAACAUCCUCGUAAUCACUGUCACCGACUCUGUCCCCUGCUUGAGGGUCAGAAACUUCUGAGCUAAACGUUCCCUCUCCACCUGGGGAACAUACUCGUCAUGAAACAUCGCAGUAAACCUCUCCCAGGUCACUGCAGUCAGCUCAGCUGUAAAAUAGCUCGCGGUCACGAAUUUCCACCAAUCCUUCGCCCCCAAGCGAAGCUGGUUGAGUGCGAAUCGCACACUCAAGUGAUCCGGACACGAGCACAUAUAGAAACACCCCUCUAUUUCUGAGAUCCACCUCAUAGCGGCGAUCGAAUCCUAUGUACCAUCGAACUCCAGUGGUUUCGUGUUGCUGAACUCUCGGUACAACAACGAAUCACCACCCUGGGGUCUCGCAGCAGCAACAGCUACGGUGGCUGCAGCAACAGCAGCAUCAGUCAAAGCAGCGUAACGCUCGUCAAACGUCUCGAUCAGUGUGGUCUUAAUAGACCCAAACAUCUCCGGAAUCUCGGCUCUGAUGGCAGCAACCCCCACUUCAUGGAUGAUCCGACGGAUCUCCUUAUCGCUCACCCCACUGCUCUUGAGGUUAUGGCGUGUCCCGACCAUGAUCAACCUCUGAAAUACAACAUAAGAAAUAUCAGGGAUACUCUCGAGUAUACUCACACUCGAUAACUCAAACAUCCUCUCUCCUGGUACCCCCAAGGAUUCUUACUUGGACUGCGCACCAAUCCGGUGUCUUCAAUAGUACGGGCCCAAUACUAUCGUCCACACCGAAUCGAUAUACAACCCAAGUCCUCCUCCUAGGAUCCCAAAUCGCAAAUACUCUACUCUCGCUAUGCACUGGCUACCCUCAAUAGCCCUCUCCUGAGCUCCUCACUGCUACCUACUCACUCUCAAAGUAUCUCAUAGCAGCAGCGAUCUCCUAAGCUAAGGCAUCACAAAUCAGGACCACUCUAGUCCUAAUAGGAAUACCUAGCCUCUCUAACAUGCACAACAUAAUAUCUCAUAACUCAUAACAUAUAAUGUAAGGGUAUUUUGGGGAUUCACCGUUCGGGCGCUGGCUGACCGUACACACCUUCCACUCUGCUCGUUUCCAAAACCUCUUUUUCUUUUUAGAAAAUUUUAGUUUUAUUUGAAAAUUUCUCAAAUCCUCGGUUUGAGUUCAAAUACGCCCGAAGGUGCAUCCGAAUCCCUCAAACCAAGGCUCUGAUACCAACUUGUAACAACGUAAAAUUCCAAUUAAAUUUUUAAUUUUUAAAACCACCAAAUGUAUAUCAUAUCAUAAUUUCAAAUCCGAAACAACAGUGUUUUCAAAACAAGUUCCCAAGAUCUCUCAAAUGUGAACUCCAUCGGUGUGAGUGUGUACGGCUCAAGCCGCCGCCUUCCCAAGGUCCUCGCUGGUACCUAAGACAUCAAACACAACAACUGUAAGCAUAAUGCUUAGUGAGUUCCCCAAAAUACCACAUACCACAAAUACGCCACUCGAGGCUAACCCGACCCUCUGGUCAAGAUGUCUCAGCGGGACCCUCCAGUCCCGCAGCUCGUCGGACCCUCUAGUCCAGUCAUAGCUCAUUGGGCUCUCUGGCCCGUUCUGAAUCGUUGGACCCUCCGGACCGGUCUAUAUAGUCAUACAGCAUACAAAUAACACAUAGCAUACAACCUCAUAAAUAACACAUAAGACCCUAUGGCCAAACCAGAAUACCACUCAAGGUAACGUAUAGUGAGAAGACUCACCUCGCGUGUCUCGGUAACUCGUAAAUCUCUUAACCACUAGUGCUCGAUCUCCCGAGCUAUCAUCCUCCUACAACACAACUGUAUUUCUACUUAAUACUACUUGACUCUGGCUGACUAAGACCACGAAGUCAAACCAGUCAACGGUCAACAGUCAACGGUCAACCCGACUCGCCGAGUCUGGCGUGGACUCGCCGAGUUCCUACGGGAACCCGAUCCCUCUGAAUCUCUUCCGACUCACCGAGUCACUCACCCGACUCGGUUACUCAACCCCUGGUUCGAAAUCAUUGAACAACCUG
rnacentral:lncRNA from 1 species